rnacentral:ncRNA from 1 species
UGAUGUCAUCAAUCUCAAGGUGCCGUCUGCUAGGGAGGCGGAGAAUUGGGAAGCCGGUCAAAAUCCGGCGCUGCCCCCGCAACGGUGGUGGAGUAAGGCAUGGCGGAUAAAGCCACUGGGUCGGGUCGACCUGGGAAGGUGCCAUGGGGUCCUGGCGACAGGGCCGCUCCAGAGCCCGGAAACCAGCCUUGGGCACAUAUGGUUU